GGAGGAAAGGAACCUAMAAGGAUUCCCUCAGUAACGGCGAGUGAACAGGGAACAAGCUCAAAGUUGGAAUCUAUCUGGCUUAGCCAGAUCGAAUUGUAAACUUUAGAGUCGUUGUCCAGACCAGCCGAGUAAAUAAGUUCCUUGGAAUAGGACAUCAUGGAGGGUGAGAAUCCCGUCUUUGGCUUGAGCAUUGGUCUUUUGUGAUGCGACUUCAACGAGUCAGGUUGUUUGGGAAUGCAGCCUUAAUUGGGUGGUAAAUCUCACCUAAAGCUAAAUAUUGGCGAGAGACCGAUAGCGAACAAGUACCGUGAGGGAAAGAUGAAAAGAACUUUGAAAAGAGAGUUAAACAGUAUGUGAAAUUGCUAAAAGGGAACCGUUUGAAGUCAGUCUGGCUGGUCUGCAAUCAGCUUCAACUUUGGUUGGAGUGCACUUGUAGGCCAUUUUGCCUGCCAACAACAGUUUGUUCUGCAGCAAAAAGGUGUUGAGAAUGUAGCUUUCUCUUCGGAGGAAGUGUUAUAGCUCUUCGCGAAAUACUGUGGUUCAGACUGAGGCUUGCAGUGAAUGCUAUUUUGGCUUUGGGGAUGGAUUGCUCAGUGCUUUGCUUGGUUAGUUUCGGCCGUCAAACGUCGUGCUGGCUAAAUAAAGUCUGACUCGGUUCAUUCACUUUUAAUUCACUUUGGUUGUUGGCUUAAUGACUUUAAACGACCCGUCUUGAAACACGGACCAAGGAGUCCACCAUAGGUGCGAGUAUUUGGGUGCCAAACCCAUAUGCGUAAUGAAAGUGAUUUGGWAUGAAUCCCUUGAGGAGGCAAUACCGUCCGGCGUAGACGUUUUAUACUGAAAUGACCGARACAAAGCACUUAUGAUGGGACCCGAAAGAUGGUGAACUAUGCCUGAAUAGGGKGAAGCCAGAGGAAACUCUGGKGGAAGCCCGUACCGAUUCUGACKUGCAAAUCGAUCGUCAAAUUUGGGAUAAGGGCGAAAGACUAAUCGAACCAUCUAGUAGCUGGUUCUUGCAAUUUUCCUCC
rnacentral:sRNA from 1 species